rnacentral:rRNA from 1 species
UACGGAGGGUGCAAGCGUUAAUCGGAAUUACUGGGCGUAAAGGGUGCGUAGGUGGUUAAUUAAGUUAUCUGUGAAAUCCCCGGGCUCAACCUGGGCAGGUCAGAUAAUACUGUUUAACUCGAGUAUGGGAGAGGGUAGUGGAAUUUCCGGUGUAGCGGUGAAAUGCGUAGAGAUCGGAAGGAACACCAGUGGCGAAGGCGGCUACCUGGCCCAAUACUGACACUGAGGCACGAAAGCGUGGGGAGCAAACGGG